CCUACGGGUAGCAGCAGUGAGGAAUAUUGGUCAAUGGACGCAAGUCUGAACCAGCCAUGCCGCGUGCAUGAAGACGGCUCUAUGAGUUGUAAACUGCUUUUGUACGAGGGUAAACGCAGAUACGCGUAUCUGUCUGAAAGUAUCGUACGAAUAAGGAUCGGCUAACUCCGUGCCAGCAGCCGCGGUAAUACGGAGGAUUCAAGCGUUAUCCGGAUUUAUUGGGUGUAAAGUGUGCGUAGGCGGUCGGAUAAGUUAGAGGUGAAAUCCCGAGGCUCAACUUCGGAAUUGCAUCUGAUACUGUUAGGCUAGAGAGUAGUUGAGGUAGGCGGAAUGUAAGGUGUAGCGGUGAAAUGCUUAGAGAUCAUACAGAACACCGAUUGCGAAGGCAGCUUACCAAGCUACUUCUGACGUUGAGGCACGAAAGCGUGGGGAGCAAACAGGAUUAGAUACCCGGGUAGUC
rnacentral:rRNA from 1 species